rnacentral:rRNA from 1 species
GGGUUGUGAGGUUAAGCGACUAAGCGUACACGGUGGAUGCCCUGGCAGUCAGAGGCGAUGAAGGACGUGCUAAUCUGCGAUAAGCGUCGGUAAGGUGAUAUGAACCGUUAUAACCGGCGAUUUCCGAAUGGGGAAACCCAGUGUGAUUCGUCACACUAUCAUUAACUGAAUCCAUAGGUUAAUGAGGCGAACCGGGGGAACUGAAACAUCUAAGUACCCCGAGGAAAAGAAAUCAACCGAGAUUCCCCCAGUAGCGGCGAGCGAACGGGGAGCAGCCCAGAGCCUGAAUCAGUGUGUGUGUUAGUGGAAGCGUCUGGAAAGGCGUGCGAUACAGGGUGACAGCCCCGUACACAAAAAUGCACAUGCUGUGAGCUCGAUGAGUAGGGCGGGACACGUGGUAUCCUGUCUGAAUAUGGGGGGACCAUCCUCCAAGGCUAAAUACUCCUGACUGACCGAUAGUGAACCAGUACCGUGAGGGAAAGGCGAAAAGAACCCCGGCGAGGGGAGUGAAAAAGAACCUGAAACCGUGUACGUACAAGCAGUGGGAGCACAGAGCAAUCUGUGUGACUGCGUACCUUUUGUAUAAUGGGUCAGCGACUUAUAUUCUGUAGCAAGGUUAACCGAAUAGGGGAGCCGAAGGGAAACCGAGUCUUAACUGGGCGUUAAGUUGCAGGGUAUAGACCCGAAACCCGGUGAUCUAGCCAUGGGCAGGUUGAAGGUUGGGUAACACUAACUGGAGGACCGAACCGACUAAUGUUGAAAAAUUAGCGGAUGACUUGUGGCUGGGGGUGAAAGGCCAAUCAAACCGGGAGAUAGCUGGUUCUCCCCGAAAGCUAUUUAGGUAGCGCCUCGUGAAUUCAUCUCCGGGGGUAGAGCACUGUUUCGGCAAGGGGGUCAUCCCGACUUACCAACCCGAUGCAAACUGCGAAUACCGGAGAAUGUUAUCACGGGAGACACACGGCGGGUGCUAACGUCCGUCGUGAAGAGGGAAACAACCCAGACCGCCAGCUAAGGUCCCAAAGUCAUGGUUAAGUGGGAAACGAUGUGGGAAGGCCCAGACAGCCAGGAUGUUGGCUUAGAAGCAGCCAUCAUUUAAAGAAAGCGUAAUAGCUCACUGGUCGAGUCGGCCUGCGCGGAAGAUGUAACGGGGCUAAACCAUGCACCGAAGCUGCGGCAGCGACGCUKAUGCGUUGUUGGGUAGGGGAGCGUUCUGUAAGCCUGUGAAGGUGUACUGUGAGGUAUGCUGGAGGUAUCAGAAGUGCGAAUGCUGACAUAAGUAACGAUAAAGCGGGUGAAAAGCCCGCUCGCCGGAAGACCAAGGGUUCCUGUCCAACGUUAAUCGGGGCAGGGUGAGUCGACCCCUAAGGCGAGGCCGAAAGGCGUAGUCGAUGGGAAACAGGUUAAUAUUCCUGUACUUGGUGUUACUGCGAAGGGGGGACGGAGAAGGCUAUGUUGGCCGGGCGACGGUUGUCCCGGUUUAAGCGUGUAGGCUGGUUUUCCAGGCAAAUCCGGAAAAUCAAGGCUGAGGCGUGAUGACGAGGCACUACGGUGCUGAAGCAACAAAUGCCCUGCUUCCAGGAAAAGCCUCUAAGCAUCAGGUAACAUCAAAUCGUACCCCAAACCGACACAGGUGGUCAGGUAGAGAAUACCAAGGCGCUUGAGAGAACUCGGGUGAAGGAACUAGGCAAAAUGGUGCCGUAACUUCGGGAGAAGGCACGCUGAUAUGUAGGUGAAGUCCCUCGCGGAUGGAGCUGAAAUCAGUCGAAGAUACCAGCUGGCUGCAACUGUUUAUUAAAAACACAGCACUGUGCAAACACGAAAGUGGACGUAUACGGUGUGACGCCUGCCCGGUGCCGGAAGGUUAAUUGAUGGGGUUAGCGCAAGCGAAGCUCUUGAUCGAAGCCCCGGUAAACGGCGGCCGUAACUAUAACGGUCCUAAGGUAGCGAAAUUCCUUGUCGGGUAAGUUCCGACCUGCACGAAUGGCGUAAUGAUGGCCAGGCUGUCUCCACCCGAGACUCAGUGAAAUUGAACUCGCUGUGAAGAUGCAGUGUACCCGCGGCAAGACGGAAAGACCCCGUGAACCUUUACUAUAGCUUGACACUGAACAUUGAGCCUUGAUGUGUAGGAUAGGUGGGAGGCUUUGAAGUGUGGACGCCAGUCUGCAUGGAGCCGACCUUGAAAUACCACCCUUUAAUGUUUGAUGUUCUAACGUUGACCCGUGAUCCGGGUUGCGGACAGUGUCUGGUGGGUAGUUUGACUGGGGCGGUCUCCUCCUAAAGAGUAACGGAGGAGCACGAAGGUUGGCUAAUCCUGGUCGGACAUCAGGAGGUUAGUGCAAUGGCAUAAGCCAGCUUGACU